ensembl:misc_RNA Metazoa_SRP Metazoan signal recognition particle RNA
GCUGGGCGUGGUGGCGCACACCUGUAAUCCCAGCUAUUCAGGGGGCUGAGACGGAAGAAUUGCUUGAACCCAGGAGGCAUAGGUUGCAGUGAGCCAAGAUCACACCACUGUACUCCAUCCUGGGAGACACAGUGAGACUCCGUCUCAA